CUUUGGGAAAGGCACGAGGCUUUUUGCAGUUGGGGUUUGAACGUUUCCAAAUAUGCUGACUCUAUUCCUGUCCUGCCUCCCACGCUUCUCUCCUGGUCUCUCUGGCCCUGCUUUCUCUUUUUGGCCUGAGACCCCAGCUUGACAAGAUCCAGAAAAGUCUCCUUUCCGACAGCCAUUCUGCAGGAUUCCAGCAGGCCCCGCCUCCUGCCCCUGUUGCUAGGCAGAUUCCCCUGUUGCUAGGCCACCACUGCUUCUUCCCUGCCUCAGAAAGAGGCACAAAUUCCCGGUGACCCACUCAACCGUCUACCUAGCCAUAUGCUGACAAGACAAGUGGGUCCUAAACACCUACUAUAUGUGAACCCCCAUGCCCAGUGUAGACCAGUUCCAAAUGGGAGAAGAGGCAGCAAACUGGGGUGUCAGACACAGAGAAAGGAAACAGGGCAUAUUGGGGAGACGGCAACCACAGCAAGUAGAACAAUCGCUUGUGACUGGAGCAUCCAUCACGGGCCGAGGUCCUGUGGCAGCCUGGCCCGGAAGAGCCGCCACCGUCCCUGCUGCCUUCACCGCGGCCUGCACUUUAUUAGAAUUUAUACGUUGCCCCGAUUGAGGGGGAAAAUAAUUAACACCCCUACAAAUAUAUCGUAAACAAAAUAUUUAUUAGAAAUAAAUAACUCAUUUAUUUUACAUAUUUCAUUUCAAC
rnacentral:lncRNA from 1 species